GGGGAAUAUUGCACAAUGGGCGAAAGCCUGAUGCAGCAACGCCGCGUGAGUGAUGAAGGUCUUCGGAUUGUAAAGCUCUGUCUUUUGGGACGAUAAUGACGGUACCAAAGGAGGAAGCCACGGCUAACUACGUGCCAGCAGCCGCGGUAAUACGUAGGUGGCGAGCGUUGUCCGGAUUUACUGGGCGUAAAGGGUGCGUAGGCGGAUGUUUAAGUGAGAUGUGAAAUACCCGGGCUUAACUUGGGUGCUGCAUUUCAAACUGGAUAUCUAGAGUGCAGGAGAGGAGAAUGGAAUUCCUAGUGUAGCGGUGAAAUGCGUAGAGAUUAGGAAGAACACCAGUGGCGAAGGCGAUUCUCUGGACUGUAACUGACGCUGAGGCACGAAAGCGUGGGUAGCAAACAGGAUUAGAUACCCUGGUAGUCCACGCCGUAAAACGAUGAGUACUAGGUGUAGGAGGUAUCGACCCCUUCUGUGCCGCAGUAAACACAUUAAGUACUCCGCCUGGGAAGUACGAUCGCAAGAUU
rnacentral:rRNA from 1 species